GCUCGAUGAUCGCGAAGACGGAGGAGGUAUGUGAGCUGCUUCCUCCAGUAUUGCCUUGUGGUUUGAGGGUGGGAGCUGACGGAACAAAUCAGAGGGACGAGGAGGGUGAUCAUUUGCCCCUGUAUGCCAACAAGGUAGAUUUUGAAGAAUAUGCUGCAAAAGCUAAAACUUUACCUGUAAAUACUACUAACAAGAGCAAAUUGAUCCUGUAUGGGCUUUACUAGCAAGCAACUAUUGGACUAGUAAAUACUACUGACCUGGUAUAUUCAAAAUGAGGGAUAGAGCCUGGGAAGCUUGGAAGGCUGGUGAAGGUUUACAAAAUCCACUUGACAAAUCUUAUAUAUAUUAAUAUAAAUAAAUAUAUAUAACUUGUUGGACAAAAUUUAUUUCUUAUUUAAUAUUAGUAAAAUUGACAAGGGAGGAAGCCAAAGGAGGAGGCUAUGAGUGACUACCUCACCAAGGUUAAACAGCUGCUCGAGGCAGCUGCUAUUGCUGCUUAUGCUACUUUGUCACAUCUUGCUCUAUGUAGUACCAUGUAUGCUGUUACCUUCUAUCUUGAACUUGAAUCAUCUAGUGGAUGUAUUAGUUAUGGAUUUCAUCUCCUUUGUGUCUUAACAAUUGACACUUUCUGAAAUCUAAUGCAGUAUCUUAUCAUUUCAUUAGUGUUUCAUUCGAGUUAAGAUGCAUGCGGAUGUGAAGAUUUUAGGUCAGCAAAGCUAAGCAUGGGCAUGUUGAAUGAGCAUUACCUGCAGCCCAUAUAUUUAGUGAAGAUUCAUUGAUUCCCAGUAAGACUGUAAAUUGUCUGUUAGGUUCUGUUCAUUUUUCUCUUCGGUCCUACAUGCUAGAGAUCUUUUAUCUUUGUUCAGUUUCUUCCCCGUAAA